UAAAGAUAGAAACGGUGUUCUGGAUAGACGAGAUGUUGACGCCAUCUUUGAUCAGGCUGACACUGACAGAGAUGGUCGUGUAUCUGAGGAAGAGCAAAGAAGAUAUAUUGCCAGACAACUGAAUCGCAUCAAUAUCUUAAAUGUUGUGAGAAAACACCAAGCGUAUUUAGAACAAUCUUCCAGAAACUGGGACGAAUAUCGUGAUAGAAAAGUCUUGAAACAAGAGCUAAAACAGAAACUUCGUGAACAAGAUGGCGACUGGAACGGUCAAGUGUCCAGAUAUGAAAAUGAAAGAUGGGUUGAUGCCAGAUAUCCUGACCCUCAAGAACGAAGAUUUCAGAAGAAUAAUUUUGAUAACACAGAUAAAGAUAACAAUGGCAUUCUCGAUAGUACGGACGUAGACUGGAUAUUUAUUUAGGCUUGGAAGAUAG